UUGAGGCCAUAUCACGUUGAAACUCCGUUUCCCAUACAAUCACCGAAGUUAAGCAACAUCGCACCUAGGUUACUUAGAUGGGUAACCGCUUCAGAAUACCAGGCG